GUUUCCCGGCCUGCUGGGACAAGAUAACCGGAGAUGCCCUCUUUGACCACAAUAAAGACAUAGUCCCUCUCUUCUUCUGUGUUGGCAUUCUGCCUCGGUUAACCUAGUAGCCCCUACUUGCAUGGGUUCGGGCAAGGCAAGUGCCAUAGAAUUAGAGGUAUUAGGUAAGGGUGUGGUAUAACUAGGGGUUCUUCUAGUUCUGUCUCUAGUGUUCUCCCU